UAAAGCCGACCGUACUGCACUUCAACUGUAUAUUUUGUGGUGAUAAGCAGAAGAUUCAUUAGAGCGCAGUUUAUUUCCUCAGGCGGUUGUUCUACAAAAACAUUUUAAGUCUUCGUACUUCUGAAGUUUUCGCGAUGUCUUAAUUUGUUAAACUCAUCUGGAGCGUGACCCUUUAACGACAGAUCAAAUAUCGUUGAAAUACAACCUCUGAGUUUUCAAAAACGUCAAAUUUUCUGUUGCGUACGCAACUCUCUAAAUUGACGUAAUAUAAACGCACGCGUCAUCAAGUUAAUUUGACGUCAUUGACCUAGACAUAUACUUCACCUAUGAAGCAUCAGUUGGAUUCAAGAUUGAUCAUGUUUCGAUACUCGAUGUUCAGAAGUCUUCGUAAAUCUUCAAAACAAAAAGAAGAAAAGGAAAGUGAACAAAUCAUUCAGCAACCAGUUAUCGGGUCCAUCUCCGAUCGUUCGCUUUUAUCGCAAAGAGGUUAUGUUCUGUCUGAUCAAACACUUGGCGAGGGAAGCUACUCGAAGGUUAAACGCGCUUACUCGAAAUAUCAAAACUGUGAUGUUGCUGUUAAAAUUAUCAAUAGACAAAUAGCUCCACAGGAUUUCCUUGAACGUUUUUUACCUCGAGAGCUUGAAAUAAUCGGCCAUCUAAACCACGAGAACAUUUGCAAAUUCUUUGAAGUUUGUGACACUGGGCGGCGAGUGUAUGUGUUUAUGCAAUACGCUUGUGAGGGCGAUUUAUUGGAAUAUAUUCAACGAAAUAGUUUUGUUAAAGAAAGUAUGGCAAAAGAAAUGUUUCGACAGAUUGUAGAAGCAUUAGAUUACCUGCACGUACAUAACAUUUUGCAUCGAGAUUUGAAAUGUGAGAAUAUACUCCUUGAAAAAGGCUUUAAACCUCUGCUUACAGACUUCGGGUUUGCGAAAUAUACAGCUGAUAUUACCGACCUAAACAAAACGUACUGUGGUAGUUCUGCAUACGCUCCUAUUGAAAUACUUAAAGGUACCCCUUACGAUGGACGCAGUGCUGAAGUGUGGAGUCUUGGGUGUAUACUCUAUACCAUGACCACCGGUACCAUGCCAUUUAAUGACAGCAACAAAAGUGAACACAUCAGACAAAUGAAGAGAGGACCAGUGUUUGGUAGAUCACGUCAAAAGAUAACAGUCUCUCUUCAAAUUUUAAUAUCAAAUGUGCUUCAGUUGAAAGCAACAGCACGACCUACGUUGAAAGAAAUACUUCAAAGUGAAUGGUGCGCGACAAGCAUAGAUGGCUUUGAAGUUAAUUCUUAAUGUUUAUUUUCCUUAAAAACAUUUUUAAUAAACUCUAAAAAUAUGUGUUAAUAAAUCAAUAAAAUUUCAUAUUUUCUUUUUAUCGACUUUUUUUGUAAAUUAAUUACCUUCCUAUUGGUUGCGUAGAUCAGGUAACAAAAAAACUGUUACACGAAAUAUGUCAGAAGAAAUACAGAGGAAAAUCUGAGGACCGGCAAACUCGUCCGUCCCCGGGGGUUGUCAAAAAGAACCCCUGAGGACGAGGUUGUUAAAACCGUGUAACUGUAUAUUAUAUUGUCAAUCACGUGAAACAACAUAAAUGGCGGCUGUGAAAAGUUGUUACUUUUGAUUUGUUUUGUUGUCUUCGUUCAGUUGCUCUAAUUUCCAGGUUGUAUUUUCUAGAAGUUCCCAGUAGGUUUCUUGAGAUCCAACCCAAAAAUUUAUAGUGGAUCUCGCAGAGAAUACAGGGCAUCAGGGGUGCUUAUUAUUGUGUUGUGUAGGACAAAUAACUCUAAUGAUUUAUCUUGUGGUAUAGCUAUCUAUAGCUAGCUAAGAUAGACCUUAAAGUGUUAGUGUUAAGCAUGUCUGUGAAAAAAGUUUUUAAUAACAAAAAAAGAACAGGCAUUUUCAUGCAAGUUUAGUGCCUUAAAAAAAGUGAAAGCUUCUCCCAUGACAAAAGAAGUUUAUCUAAACCAACUCAAUUUAAUGCAUAACUUUCUCAGAUAAAUAGCAUGGUUGUUUAGUGGUUAUUACUCUCGCACUUUGUGCUGGAGACCCUUGGUGGCAAUUCAAUAUGAUCCAGUGAAUGUUACCAUAGCCCUGGAUUAACCCAAGCCAUGUGAGGGAAAUUGGGGAGACGACACACUUUGUGGGCCGUUGGAUGUUGCAGGGAGUUUUCUGGUGGAGCGCGGACCCUAAUAGAGUUUGAGAAGCUCAAAGAGAGCAUUAAAUAUCCAGGACUCCCCAUCUAUGCCAUGGGCCCCUCCUGGAAAUAAUUAAGGCUAGCCAUGUAAAAUAUGCACAUCUAUCUACAACAUAGAUUUAUUCCACUGUUCCUGCAGUGGUGGCUAGUUUGUAUUGGCGAAAGUAGGUCAACAAUUUUUGACGCGUUCUGAAUUCCGUCUAAUUGUAUCUCCUUCGCAAAGUCUUUCGGAAGGACCCUCCCUCUCCUGGUCUUUUUUAUAAAGAAAAUAAUUGCAUUUUUUUCCUCGCCAAGGGUGAUAUGAAACUCAAACUUUUUGUCCGGUAUCGAUGACUUUUUUCCAUCAUGGCUUUUUUUUAAAUAUUUUUAAACUUUUGGCGAAGUAUUUACAAUACAGAAGCUUACAUAAUUUAUUUCAAAACACCACAACAAUAAAAUUUACAAACUAUUUAACACACCUCACAUUUCCAUUUCUCAUGUUCAUUAUUUAACGCAAAUACUUUUUAAGGGAUUUUUGCACAACUAUGAUGAUACCAUUUAUUGCAACCUGAGCACAUUGCCAUAAAAAGUCCUUUGUCUUUCUUAACAUCAUCUUCAAAAAAGAUGUCUCUGCAUAUACAAUGUAAGUCGUACGCUUUUGCAUAAAACAACAAAAACUCUUGAUAACUUUUGGAAAUGGACUAAAUUGACCAACUUCCAGGCAAUGUAACAAGUGAGCUCUCAUUUGUUGUGUAUCAAAUGACACAGAUUGUGGACUGUUUCCAAGAAAUUCUUCAACAGAAAAUGCUAUUGCAAACUGACCACAAUCAAUGUCAUUCUCUUGUUGCUGAACUGUUAUAUUUGACACUUUAAUACUUGCUUCGUGACAGUGCGCUGUACAAGCUAUUUUUCUAAAGAUUCUCUAUCUUGAUCUCUAUUGUAUUGGCUUAGAGAAUCAUAAACGUAUACUUCGUCAUGAGCUUUUCUGGUGACAGUUAUCCAGUGUCGACGUUGCUCUACGUACAGUAUUUGAAUAAACUUAUUUCGCCAGCGUGAAUAGCAGGAGAAGUUUAAACCAGUGUCUUCAAAACCAUCCACGCCACUCUGCUGCUUCAUGAUGACUUGAGCCAAAUUAAUAGUGGCGUGUGUCAAUUGGCUACCCUUCAGAAUUUCAUUCUCUUAAUUUCCGACAACCAUGUGCCUAAAAAAAUAUUAUGAAAUAACCUAAUAGACUAGAAAACUAUGAUAGAAAAAUUGUAUACAAGAAUAAGAAAUCCUUCUCACCUUCAAACCAUCUUUUCAACUUUCCAUUGUACAUUUCCCACUUUUUUAAAUCAGCUAUUGCGUCGUUCAUUUCAUUCAAGGAAACUAAAUGUGCAAUUCGUCUUAUCCAUGCUUUAAAAUCUCCAGCCACAUUAUCAACACCGUUUUCAGAUUUGUUGGUCCAUCUAAUAAAAAAAUUAAAAAUUAAAAGCAAUAUAAAAAAUGUAAUCAGUGCAAGGUUACAAAAGCGUAAAAUAUAAGACUGACUGUGUCCAUGCCUGUUCUUGAUGAAAGUCACACAAAAAAACUUUUAUAUUAGGGAAAACGUCCUCCAAACUCAAAAUUUCUAAGGUGUUGUAGUCAACUAUCGCAUACUUAGGUGUUAUAUCUGGAUUCCAUUCUAGAUUAAAUUAACAGUUACUUCAGAAAUACGCAAAAAUAGCAAAUAAAAUAAUAUAAACAAUGAUAAUAAUAACACACCUUUAAUUUUUGUUAACGCUUUUGUCACCAUCAUUUUCGACUCAUCUUGUGGAAUCAUAACACCAACAACCUACGUUUAAAUAAAAAUUGUAAGUUUAAAAUUUACACUCUGAAAGGCAAUGUUUUUAGCUGAUAAACACCCGCCAUGUAAUUUACGUUAGUCUUUACGACAAGAAAGUACAGUGGUAAAGCAUAUUUAGUCGUUCGGUAGGUUGCAUCUAACAAUACUAGUUGCAAUGUGUAUCUUCUGUAUAGUCGUUGCAUUACUUUAGAUUGAUACACAAACAGGAAUUUCCCAUCUGUUACCGUAGCGUUGUAUAUUUUUUUCUCCUUUUCAAAUAUUUCUUCUUCAAUAUUUAAAAUAUUGUGAUCCUCCAAAUCAUCGUCGCUUUCAUUUUUUAGGAUGAAAUCUGUUUUUCCAUACUUAAAAUAUACAAAAAUCAAGUAUUUAUAAGCAAAUGGGCGUAAACUAAUAUCGAAUUUUAAGCAUAAAACUCACCGAGCACUAAAGUAAAAUGAUAAUAAAUAAUACAAAUGUGUGAUUAUGUAAGAGAUAUAUAGUGUUAAUUAAUAGUCAGUAAAGGAAAUUCACAAUUAUGGACGCAAAAGCAUACCUGUUGGGAAUGUUGUCACAUACUCAAGAUAACAAAAACUCUCUAACACAGAUUUUGAGUGUUUAGCUUGAUAAUUUUCCAAAGCGCUCUUUAAUUUCUUAGAGGCUACUGUCCUGUUCCAUUUAGUAUCAUUCUUAUUUUUGUAUUCUGGGAAUAAAAACAACUUUUUCACGUUGAACGUAACAUGAUAAUUCAGUUUUUUCGUGUGUUGUGCUAAUUUCCUUGUUUUCACUCAUUCUGGAUGGUCACCGCAGAGUUUUUUUCACGGUUCUUUUUGUAAUCUGCUUUUAAAGACACACCUUUGACUUUUCCCUGAUGGCAUUGAUACUUCUUUGUACCGAGCCACACGUAAGGGAUGCCAUUAAAAAUAUAGGGAGACUGUCUUCUUUGUUGAGUUGAUUGCCAACAUAUUGAUGGGAUUUGAGAGUGCGAUUGCAAUACAUUGUGUAGCGACUCUAAAUAUGUAAUGCAUACAUAGGUUUAGAGUUAGAAUAUAAAUAAUUUUUUUAAAAAUGUCGCGCGCACAUCAUUGUGAAUUUAGCGCGGCAGAUAACAUUUAAAAGAAAACGUUUUAUUGAACAAUAGAGCACCUAUUUGCACUUGCUCAUACAGAAAACGAGUUGAUUAAAAGUGUUAGAACUUACGAUCAUAAUUGAAUUCUUUCGUCUCUGAUAAAAUAGUAAUUUGACUCGCGCACCAAAGAUGCAUUACGUCAUACACGACAUCACUUAGUCGAAUAAAUAUUUCAACAACCUAAUUUUACUGAUACAAACUAGCCACUACCUGUUCCUGCACAUAAUUUUGAAAAAAUCAUAAUGACAGAUAUAUAUAUAAUACCACAAACAAACAGUUUGUUGGAAUAUGCAAGAAGUUGUAUUUGAUUGCUCAAAGAUAUAUGGUUAACUCUGUUUUCUUCCAAUGUUUCACCGUUUCUUUAAUUUCUACACCAAAAUGUAAUUUACCAGCCUUGCUUCUAUUAAGUUUUAUUUUCCAGAUGAGUUUCAAAAAAGAAAAAAAGCCAUUGUUAACACGUGAAAUUAGGGAUGAUUAUAUGGGGAGUUCGACUGCUUCUUUAUCGUCAUAUGAUUAUGAAACUUAUGUCAAACCUUAUGCUCAUACUGAGACUGGUACAUAUUGGUACCGUUGGUAUAUACUUGCCUUAUUCUCAUUGGUGGCAAGCAUGUGUAAUAUAGCGUGGAAUUCUUGGGGUCCAAUCGAGACAACAUCCCGUGCUGUGUUUGGUUGGAGUAAAGGAACAAUCUCAUUGUUGUCUGACUGGGGAGCCAUAACAUUUGUGUUGGCGGUGUUUCCA